UACAGAGGGUGCGAGCGUUGUCCGGAAUCAUUGGGCGUAAAGGGCGCGUAGGUGGCCUGGUCAGCGUGCGGUGAAAGCUCGGGGCUCAACCCCGAGUCGGCCGUGCGAACUGCUGGGCUUGAGCACUGUAGAGGCAGGCGGAAUUCCGGGUGUAGCGGUGGAAUGCGUAGAGAUCCGGAGAACACCGGUGGCGAAGGCGGCACGUGGGCCGAUACC
rnacentral:rRNA from 1 species